UUACAAAACAUUCAGAAUUUUG
rnacentral:miRNA from 1 species